rnacentral:lncRNA from 1 species
UAUGUCCUCCAGCAGGGAUUUAUUGCUAGUCAUGUGCAUUGACGCUCCACUGUUAAGCACCCAGGUAACACGAACAAUUCCACUGGCACCCUGCAAAAGACAGCUUGAUUAAACAUUCUUUGGGACCCACACUUGAUUGGGUCCAGCAAACUUAAAGAAUUGAUUUCUAUCAGGUAAUACAACAGAGCCCCUUGGACUGAUACUUGGUUCAGACUUGACUGAACUUACUUCCUUAACAACAGCCUUAUAAACCUUAGUUUUAGGCUUUGGAACAUAAGUCUCCUUUCUCUUGAGAGAAGGACUAGCAGUCU